AUUGAUCCCGUCGGACCCCACUGCUAUCGAGAUGGGACUAAGGUAUGCUAGUCGAACGACCAGAACUAUGUCUGGAAGUGGCACACUGCUCAGUAACACGUAGCUAACCUACCCUUAGGACGUGGAUACCCCCGAGAAAUUGGGGUUAAUCCGCGAUAGAUGUAAUGUCCUGGAAUGGUAUUACGUCUAAAGGUAUUUCAUACAUGUUUGAAAUAUGCCUAAGGAUGGGGCUGCGGCCGAUCAGGCUGUUGGUGAGGUAAUGGCUCACCAAACCUUUGACCGGUACGGGCCAUGAGAGUGGUAGCCCGGAGAUGGACACUGAGACAAGGGUCCAGGCCCUAAGGGGCGCAGCAACCGCGAAACCUCCACAAUGCACUCACGUGCGAUGGGGCUAUCUCGAGUGCCACCUGAUGAAGGUGGCUUUUCCUAGGUCUUCAAAGCCUUGGGAAUAAGAGGGGGGCAAGACUGGUGUCAGCCGCCGCGGUAACACCAGCCCCUCGAGUGGUGGGGAUGAUUAUUUGGCCUAAAGCGUCCGUAGCCGGCCGAGCAAGUCUUCCGUUAAAUCCAGCGUCUCAAGCGUUGGACCGCGGGAGAUACUACACGGCUAGAGAGUGGGAGAGGUCAGCGGUAUUCUGGGGGUAGGGGCGAAAUCCUUUGAUCCCCGGAGGACCACCAGUGGCGAAGGCUGCUGACUAGAACACGUCUGACGGUCAGGGACGAAAGCUGGGGUAGCGAACCGGAUUAGAUACCCGGGUAGUCCCAGCCGUAAACGAUGCAUGCUAGGUGUUGGGUUGGCCACGAGCCACCCCAGUGCCGCAGGGAAGCCGUUAAGCAUGCCGCCUGGGAAGUACGAUCGCAAGAUUGAAACUUAAAUUGGCGGGGGAGCACCAUCAGGCGUGAAGCCUGCGGUUUAAUUGGAGUCAACGCCGGGAACCUUACCGGGAGCGACAGCAGAAUGAAGGCCAGAUUGAAGAUCUUGCCAGACGAGCUGAGAGGAGGUGCAUGGCCGUCGCCAGUUCGUGCCGUGAGGUGUUCUCUUAAGUGAGAUAACGAACGAGACCCGUGCCACAUGUUGCCACCAGUAUCUAAAGGAUAGCUGAGCACUCUUGUGGGACCGCAGCCGAUAAGGCUGAGGAAGGUACGGGCAACGGCAGGUCAGUAUGCCCCGAAUCUCCCGGGCCACACGCGGGCUGCAAUGGUACAGACAGAGGGCUGCCACCCCGAAAGGGGGAGCCAAUCCCUAAACUGUACCUCAGUUGGGAUCGAGGGUUGCAACCCACCCUCGUGAACAUGGAAUGCCUAGUAACCGCCAGUCAUCAUCUGGCGGUGAAUACGUCCCUGCUCCUUGCACACACUGCCCGUCGAACCACCCGAAUGAGGUUUGGGUGAGGAAUGGUCGAAUGUUGGCCGUUUCGAACCUGGGCCUCGUAAGGAGGGUUAAGUCGUAACAAGGUG
rnacentral:rRNA from 1 species